rnacentral:rRNA from 1 species
CCCUUAGAUGUUCUGGGCCGCACGCGUGCUACACUGAGUGGAUCAGCGGGUCAGGUUGCGCGAAAGUGUUUCCUAAUCUUGAAAUCCGCUCGUGAUGGGGAUUGACGGUUGCAAUUUUCCGUCAUGAACGAGGAAUACCUUGUAAGCGCGGGUCAUCAUCCCGCGCUGAAUACGUCCCUGCCCUUUGUACACACCGCCGUCGCUCCUACCGAUUGAGUGGUCCGGUGAGGCUUUGGGAUCUGAGCGGAAAGAGCGUUUCGCUGUUUCUGCUCGGAAAACUCAGUCGAACCUUAUCAUUUAGAGGAAGGAGAAGUCGUAACA